rnacentral:lncRNA from 1 species
GGAAGAGGAAGAAGAAGAAGAAGAAGAAGAAGAAGAAGAAGAAGAAGAAGAAGAAGAAGAAGAAGAAGAAAUGUUUUCUGUUGAGAAGUGCUGUUGGUAUGGAUUAUUUAUUGACUCUUACCUAGAAAUCUUCAGAAUGCUGGUAUGUAUGGAAGAAACAGGUAGUUCUAAUAUCCUGCCUCUUUUCCUCCAGCUAUUUGGAUUUCCUGCAUCUCACUUCAGCACCCUUUAGGAAUGAAGAAUGCCAGCCUGACCAAAUCCAGAACUACACUUUCCUGGAAGCCUGGCUAAAAGUCCCAGACUGGCAAGGGGCAAGCAGCCAGCAGCGUGUGCGGGUGGCAGGCCUGUCAGUGGCCACCUCAGUGCCACCUGCUCUCACACAAAGUGAAGAAUGGAGCCACUCCGCUUCCCAGGUUAUUAAUCCAGUCACCUACAAAUUCAACUCUCUGCCCUUCAGAAGGUUCAGCUAUAAACCUUCUUGGAGUGCCAAUAUAACUUAGUUAUUAAGAAUGUGGACUUUGAAGUCAGAUCAAACUUGUUUCAAAUUCCAGCCCAGAGCUUUUGGGCUGGGUUACUUUGGAAAAGUUCUCUAACCUUUUUGAACUUCAGUUUCCUCCUCAGCAAAAAUAAUAAUAAUAAUAAAACGUACCCUACAACAUUGUUGGAGGAUUGGGUUGAAUAAUGAAUCAAAGUGUUAAGCAUAUACCUAGCAAAGGUAAGUACCACAUAAAUAACACGUCCUGUGAUGAUCAUUGUCACUAUGCCUUUCUCCUUUCCACAUUCUCCACAUUCUUCUCUCCCUCUGUCACCAAAGAGAAGUCCUUUCAAAAUUUUUGCUCCCACAGCAUUCAAUCUCAUCUCAUUAUCUCCUGUGUCCUUCAUCUGGAAUCUUCCAUCCCACUUCCACCCUCAAAAGAUUUCUCCAUUUAUUAUGUAGAAAAUGAAGCUGGAGCCUGAGUUCAUCUCAGAGGUUGUAUACUCGCAUCCAAGAAGAGUACCCCUGUAGAAGGCAGUGGGGAGCUACAAAUAAAGAAAGACUUCAUCCCCUGUUACAUAAACCAAAGCUCUUUACUGGUGAGAAGAUAGCAAAAGCUGAAGCAGACACAGAAUCCACAAGUGGAAAAUACAGCAGUGCCAUUAAAGUUGCUGAGGGCCCGCUUUGCACCAGACACCAUUUUAAGGGAUAGAAGAGAAAACCUAAUGACAGUCUGAUUGCCGUCAAGAGGCUCACAUGUGAAAGGGAAUGAGGAGCUGCAACAAAUAGCACAAUGCGGUAAGUACUGUAAAGACGUGUGCCCAAGGCAGUAAGAGGCGCCAGUGCCUCUUUCAGAGAAGGGGAGGCAAGACUUGUGAAGCCUACAGAGAGCUAAGAUCAGGAAAUACUGGCUACAUGCUUUGUUCUCUAGGGGGAGCUCAAGGCUUUCUCCUUUGAUA